UACGUAGGGCGCAAGCGUUGUUCGGAUUCAUUGGGCGUAAAGGGCGCGUAGGCGGCGGGGUAAGUCGGGUGUGAAAUCUCAGAGCUCAACUCUGAAAUGGCACUUGAUACUGCUCUACUAGAGGAGUGGAGAGGAGAUUGGAAUUCACGGUGUAGCAGUGAAAUGCGUAGAUAUCGUGAGGAAGACCAGUGGCGAAGGCGGGUCUCUGGACAGUUCCUGACGCUGAGGCACGAAGGCCAGGGGAGCAAACGGG
rnacentral:rRNA from 1 species